rnacentral:rRNA from 1 species
CCUACGGGAGGCAGCAGUGGGGAAUAUUGCACAAUGGGGGAAACCCUGAUGCAGCGCCGCCGCGUGAGUGACGAAGGAAUUCGUUAUGUAAAGCUCUAUCAGCAGGGAAGAAAAUGACGGUACCUGAGUAAGAAGCCCCGGCUAACUACGUGCCAGCAGCCGCGGUAAUACGUCGGGGGCAAGCGUUAUCCGGAUUUACUGGGUGUAAGGGGAGCGUAGACGGCAGUGCAAGUCUGGAGUGAAAGGCUGGGGCUCAACCCCCGGACUGCUCUGGAAACUGUACGGCUGGAGUGCAGGAGAGGUAAGUGGAAUUCCUAGUGUAGCGGUGAAAUGCGUAGAUAUUAGGAGGAACACCAGUGGCGAAGGCGGCUUACUGGACUGUAACUGACGUUGAGGCUCGAAAGCGUGGGGAGCAAACAGGAUUAGAUACCCCGGUAGUC